AAGUCUCAACACCCCAGUGAGAACACCCUUACAACCUCUAUAAAGGUCAAGGAGUUGGCAUCAGGCACAAACUACUGCCCACAACGCCUAGUCUCACCACACCCCCAAGGGUUAUCAGCAGUGACAGAAGUUGUCUAUAAGCGUCAGCUUGAAUCAAUUAAGAAAAAGAGAGCCGGCCAAUCCGGUGCCAGCCGCCGCGGCUACACCGUGGGCUCAAGUUGAUAAUAACCGGCGUUAAGCGUGAUUAAAGGUAGCCCAAAUUAGGAUUAAAUUUAAGCUGAGCUGUGAAAAGCUUGCCUAAUAGAAACUCAUAAUCGAAAGUUAUCCUAAUACCACUUGAAUACACGAUAGCUUGGGCACAAACUAAGAUUAGAUACCUUAUUAUG
rnacentral:rRNA from 1 species